UGUGGGAGCGAGCUUGCUCGCGAUGGCGUGGUGUCAGUCAACUUCAAUGGUGACUGAUACACCGCUAUCGCGAGCAAGCUCGCUCCCACA
rnacentral:misc_RNA from 1 species